GCUUGACUCCAAAUCA
rnacentral:rRNA from 1 species